AAAGAAAUAUUUUAAAAAAAAGCUUCUAACUUUUCUAAAAGCAUUAAUAUGUUUAU
rnacentral:tRNA from 1 species